rnacentral:lncRNA from 1 species
UGCCGGGAUGCUGGCGUCUCGCUUCAAAUGUUAUUUAUAAACUUUCCGGUGCAUAUAAUUCACUAAUAUGAUUUAUAUUGUCCGUUUGCAACCACAUCUGACACCAUGUAUCGUUAUUCCUACGAUAUGAGGGCAAUAAGAAGUACAAACAAUAGUUUAGGCACACAAGUAUAAUUCCAAACAGUUACAUCAUGUACGUGUACAACGUCAUCAGUAUCAGUGCUAAUCUAUGGAGCGCAUCAUAAACAUAUACAUAUCGUUACACAAACAUU